rnacentral:pre_miRNA from 1 species
UGAGUUGAAUGUGAAUUGAUUUAUGUUUGGAUACACUCAAUUAAAACUGAUUUUUAUUAGUUGAUAUUGUUUGGAUAGUUUGAAUCAAAAUUGAUUUUAAA